CGGCGUAAAGCGUGGUUAAGAUACUCACUAAAUAGGGCCGAAUGGUCUCAAGACAGUCAAAUUUAUUCGAGACCACGAAGCACAUCCACGAAGGUGGCCCUAACACCUCUGACCCCACGAAAGCCAUAACACAAACUGGGAUUAGAUACCCCACUAUGUAUGGCCAUCAAAAUUGAUGAUACUUCACUCGAAUCAUCCGCCCGGGAACUACGAGCCCUAGCUUAAAACCCAAAGGACCUGGCGGUGCUUUAGAUCCCCCUAGAGGAGCCUGUCCUAUAACUGACAACCCCCGUUAAACCUCACCACCUUUUGUCAAUUCCGCCUAUAUACCACCGUCGUAAGCUUACCCUAUUGAAGGCCAAAAAGUAAGCACUAAUAGUAAUACUAGAGACGUCAGGUCGAGGUGUAGCGUAUGGGGUGGGAAGAGAUGGGCUACAUUCUCUAAUAAAGAGAACACGAACGGCAAUUUGAAAAAAUUACACUGAAGGAGGAUUUAGUAGUAAGGAAGGAGCAGAGUGCCCUACUGAAAAUGGCCCUAAAGCGCGUACAGACCGCCCGUCACUCUCUCCGAAACAAAUUCCUUUGUACAUAACACAUAAAAUGAAACAAGGCGAGAUAAGUCGUAAC
rnacentral:rRNA from 1 species